AGCGAACGCUGGCGGCAGGCUUAACACAUGCAAGUCGAGCGGGCACUUCGGUGUCAGCGGCAGACGGGUGAGUAACACGUGGGAACGUACCCUUUGGUUCGGAAUAACGCUGGGAAACUAGCGCUAAUACCGGAUACGCCCUUUUGGGGAAAGGCUUGCUGCCGAAGGAUCGGCCCGCGUCUGAUUAGCUAGUUGGUGGGGUAAUGGCCUACCAAGGCGACGAUCAGUAGCUGGUCUGAGAGGAUGAUCAGCCACACUGGGACUGAGACACGGCCCAGACUCCUACGGGAGGCAGCAGUGGGGGAUAUUGGAAAGUGGGCGCAGGCCUGAUCCAGCCAUGCCGCGUGAGUGAUGAAGGCCUUAGGGUUGUAAAGCUCUUUUGUCCGGGACGAUAAUGACGGUACCGGAAGAAUAAGCCCCGGCUAACUUCGUG
rnacentral:rRNA from 1 species